GAAUGUACUAACCCAGCCUGAGUUACAUUUCUCUUUAUGCCAAGGCAAUCAUAAACUAUACUUUGUCAUAUUUGUCUUAUGGAGGAAAGGCUCAAGAAGGCGAAAGUGCUCGAGGACCGUGAAAAUGUCUACACAAGCAGUGUGGUUCAGGGAGACUGUGGAAGUCACUUAGAAUCAACCCACACAACAGAAUUCAGUCAAAACCGUACAAAUGCAACGCCACGCAGUUACAUGGCGUCGAGCGGCCACUCUGAGCCUCCGUUUUCUCGUAGGACGAGUCACAGGAGUACUGAGCCCCGUGGUACCUCAGGCCGGGCGGGGAAGGCGCGGCGUUUGCUCUCACGCAGCCUUUUGGCCCAGCAGCCCCAGCGGCUUGUUCUUGUGCAGCAGCUGAUACAAUCGUCAGGACAGCACAGGGCCACCGGGGGGAGCAGGGACUCUGCACUUAGCAAGUGUGGUCUCGGCCAGUGUCCCUCCUGGGAGGCGGCGUACACAAGGGCGCCUCAGCCACGAGCCUCCCUGGGGUGAACCGGCGAGCCCUGAGGGAGCUCAGGAGGGAGAAGAGAGCCUGCCGCCCUACACCAUCAGACGGCUGCCAUUCCUCCGGGGAGCCCUGAGGAAAGGGAGCUCAGGGGAGAGGAGAGCCUGCAGCCCUACACCAUCAGACGGCAGCCAUUCCUCCGGGGAGCCCUGAGGAAAGGGAGCUCAGGGGGAGAAGAGAGUCUGCCGCCCUACAGCCAUCAGAUGGCAGCCAUUCCUCCGGGGAGCCCUGCGGGAGCUCAGGAGGGAGAAGAGAGCCUGCCGCCCUACAGCCAUCAGACGGCUGCCAUUCCUCCGGGGAGCCCUGAGAAAAUGGAGCUCAGGGGAGAGGAGAGCCUGCCGCCCUACCGCCAUCAGACGGCUGCCAUUCCUCCAGCGAGCCCUGAGGAAAGGGAGCUCAGGGGAGAGGAGAGCCUGCCGCCCUACAGCCAUCAGAUGGCAGCCAUUCAUUCCUCCAGCGAGCCCUGCGGGAGCUCAGGGAGAGGAGAGCCUGCAGCCCUACAGCCAUCAGACUGCAGCCAUUCCUCCGGGGAGCCCUGAGGAAAGGGAGCUCAGGAUGUGAAAACAGGGCGCUGGCCCCAGACAGGUGAGGUGCCUGUGGAAGGAGAGAUCUCAGGGAGCCCAGACUCCACCUUCCCUCCAUGCUGGUGCGGAAGGACUCAGCUGCCAACGCAGGAAACUAGGAGACACGACUUCGAUCUCCGGAGGAGGGCAUGGCCACCCACCCUGGUGUUCUCGCCUGGAGAAUCCAUGGGCAGAGGAGCCUGGCGGGCUACAGUCCUUGCGGUUGCAAAGAGUCGGACACGAGACCGAAGCGACUUAGCACACAUGGAAAAGCGCUAAAUUCCUUGCGAUAACUGGUUUUCUUUAGUUAACAAUACUCUUUUGAUGUUCAGAUUGCCUGCCCCUCGAUGCAGAUUCCUCUAUAAGCUGACUCUCCCCAACUCCUGGGGACAGUACUCUCAGGGUCCCUUGAGAUGCAGUCUCCCAGGCUUGACAUCUUAAAAACCCAACCAGAUAAAACAUCACUCUCAGCUUUCAGCUGGUGACGGUUUUUUAAGUCGACACUCCUCACAGAGCUUCCCUCAUCUGACAAACGGGAUCCAAAAAGAAUCAGCGUCACAGGGUUUGCAGAUUUCGUGUGAGUCAAGGCUUGUCAAGGGCUCUACAGGGUGCCUGUGUUUAGCAAAUUCUUCCUAACCAUUCUCCUCUAACAGGAAGAGCUUGCAUAAGCGUGACCUGCACUGCGCGUCUUUCCAGAUUACUGUUCGGAGAAGCCUAAGGCCAUCCUUUUCCUCGCACAGACCCUUCCCUUGCUGAGCUUCCUCGUCUCUUGUCCCUUGGUUUUUUCAUCACUUUCUCUCCUGGAUUCCUCCCCAUCUACUCCUACAUGAACUCAUAUAU
ensembl:lncRNA